AUUGAACGCUGGCGGCAGGCCUAACACAUGCAAGUCGAGCGGAUGAAGAGAGCUUGCUCUCUGAUUCAGCGGCGGACGGGUGAGUAAUGCCUAGGAAUCUGCCUGGUAGUGGGGGGCAACGUUUCGAAAGGAACGCUAAUACCGCAUACGUCCUACGGGUGAAAGCAGGGGACCUUCGGGCCUUGCGCUAUCAGAUGAGCCUAGGUCGGAUUAGCUAGUAGGUGAGGUAAAGGCUCACCUAGGCGACGAUCCGUAACUGGUCUGAGAGGAUGAUCAGUCACACUGGAACUGAGACACGGUCCAGACUCCUACGGGAGGCAGCAGUGGGGAAUAUUGGACAAUGGGCGAAAGCCUGAUCCAGCCAUGCCGCGUGUGUGAAGAAGGUCUUCGGAUUGUAAAGCACUUUAAGUUGGGAGGAAGGGCAGUAAGUUAAUACCUUGCUGUUUUGACGUUACCAACAGAAUAAGCACCGGCUAACUUCGUGCCAGCCGCCGCCGUAAGAC
rnacentral:rRNA from 1 species